GCGGCGGUUCGAGGUUGGCGGCGCCGGGCCGGAGCGCUGCGAGCGAUGUUGACAUUUCUGUUUGAGUUCUGAAGGAACAUCCUGAAAUUUCACAGCUAAACUGUGUGCAGAUGGACAAGGCACAGCUGGAACUGGACUUGGCAAAGGGGUGCAAAGAAGAGAAAGAAAGGCUUCUGCACCAACCUGACAUCUGGUACAUCAACCAGAAGAGGAUCUGCUGAGAAUUACCAUGCUCUUCUACCUCUCAGUGGAUCUCAAAAUACAUGUAAUUCAGAGGAGACCGGUGACCAUCCUGCUCUGUUAUGAGGAAACAUCCAGCAACCUCAGGCUAUCUGGAAGAAGAUUUCUCUAAAAAAACAAAAAAAAAAUCAAAAGGCAAAAAAAUCCUUCAAAAAUACAGAAGACAUCCAGAACUUCAUAAAUUAGUAAUUGUAGUUGGAUAAGAAAAAAUGAACCGUUACACAAUCAUGAAGCAGCUGGGUGAUGGCACCUAUGGCAGUGUGUUGAUGGGAAAGAGCAAUGAAUCAGGAGAGCUUGUGGCCAUCAAACGAAUGAAAAGGAAGUUCUAUUCAUGGGAUGAGUGCAUGAAUUUGAGAGAAGUCAAGUCCCUGAAGAAGCUAAAUCAUGCCAAUGUAAUAAAAUUGAAAGAAGUCAUAAGAGAAAAUGACCACCUUUACUUUGUGUUUGAAUACAUGAAGGAAAAUCUCUAUCAGUUGAUGAAGGACAGAAACAAGUUGUUCCCUGAGUCAGUCAUCAGGAACAUGAUGUAUCAGAUACUGCAAGGGUUAGCUUUCAUCCAUAAACACGGAUUUUUUCAUAGAGACAUGAAGCCUGAAAACCUUCUUUGUAUUGGUCCAGAACUUGUAAAAAUAGCUGAUUUUGGUUUGGCUAGAGAGCUGAGAUCUCAGCCACCGUAUACAGAUUACGUGUCCACCAGGUGGUACCGUGCUCCUGAAGUUCUGCUGCGGUCAUCCAUUUACAGCUCACCUAUUGACAUAUGGGCAGUUGGCAGCAUCAUGGCUGAAUUAUACACACUGAGACCCCUUUUCCCAGGCACAAGUGAAGUAGAUGAAAUCUUCAAGAUUUGCCAAGUAUUAGGGACUCCAAAGAAGAGUGACUGGCCAGAAGGAUACCACCUCUCUUCUGCCAUGAAUUUCCGUUUCCCACAGUGCGUCCCUAUAAGUUUAAAAACUCUCAUCCCAAAUGCAAGCAGUGAAGCCAUACAGCUUAUGAGUGAUAUGCUGAACUGGAAUCCAAAGAAGAGACCUACAGCAAGCCAGGCACUGAAGUACCCUUACUUUCAAGUUGGCCAAGUUUUAGGACCUCCCCCACAAUAUUUGGAGAAGCAGAGUCCUACUAAACCAGUGCAGCCAACAGAACCAAAGCCAACUUUACCCAAACUGGAAGCUGUAUCCAAGCCAGAGCCUCUGUCUUCACCUGAGGAACCUGACAAAACACAGCCACAGUCACUGUCAAAAGCUAAUCACCAGCCUCUCCAGCAAAUUCAGGUGCCCCAGAAUACAGCUAACCAGCAAGUAUCAAAACAGCAGCAGACACAGGUGCAGCCAUUUUUUCCAGCUAUCAGUAAAGACUCAUCUGGGAAACAAGCAGCUCAGAAUGGCACAGUGGGUGCUAAAAGUUGCAGGAGACGAUGGGGUCAGACUUUGAUAAAGGCUGUGGACAGCUGGGAUGAAUUGGACGAUGCUGAAUUUGGAAUGUCGUGUUCAAAGAAGCCUAGCAUUGCACUGUUAAAAGAAAAGAAAAACAAGGAAUGUCUCUUUAGUGUGCCAGAACCAAAAGCUUCACACUGUACCCAGCCAGGAGCAGAAAAUAAAGGUGUAAUGAGAAAUGAUUCUGGAAGGUCCAAUACAACAGCAAAACAGUACUAUCUAAGACAAUCAAGAUACCUGCCAGGUGUAAACCCUAAGACUGUCUCUUUAGUAGCAAUCAAUAAAGAAGGAUCUCAUGGAACCUGGAACAACCAGCUGUUUUCCAAGCCAUUGGCCCAUGUUGGAGAAGGAUUGCCUUUCAACAGAAAUAAUACAGAAGAGAACUUAAUUACACCCAUUGAAAAACUAUCAUGCAAAGAAAGUUUGAAUGAAAAAUUAGAGGAUCCAAAAGGUAAUUUAUAGCAAUUAUAACCUGGCUCUUUGCACAUUUCAUAUUUGUUUUACAUUUUCUCCCAAAAAAUACACCUACAGUGCAGAUUCCAAAAGAUCACAUCCUUCAUUUUCAGUUGUAAUAUGUUUUGUCCAACUUUGCUCUCUUCUUUAUGUCUGCUUUUAGACCAAGCAGGGUCUAUGAGUUAGGGUGUAGCAACUCAUGCAGUGACAUGCAGCAGAGGUCCAUCUACCACAGUGUAAUGUAGUGUGAAAAACAGCUUCUACCUUGAUUUUUACUCUUAGAAGUAGACAAAGUAAAAAAAUAGCCAUAUAAGUAAGGUCUGUUUGUUUUUCAUACUGACAAAAUUGUUUCCCUUCUGAAUCUGCACCUAAACUAAGUGGUGCUAUGCUGAAGGAGGGCAGAUAAUUUCUCAUCACAUGUAGACUAACUCAUUCAUGUUAACCUGGAUUGUUUCAGUACACUCUUUGAAACCUGAGAGAAUGAAGUGACUACAUGUAUAUUUACAAAUGCCUUUAAAUAACAUCUGAAUGUUCCAGUAAGUGACUUCAUAACUUUCCUUCUGGAGAAGAACUGAUCCUAAAGGAGGAACACAUGCAUCCCUGAAGGAAUGCUUGCUCCUAAUAUCGCUUGCCACUUGCACCACUGACUGCAUUCUAAUUGUUAUUUACACACUGUGAUUGCACAGGUUUGAUUGAUUAAUCUCAGUGUAAACAGAUGGAAACUAGGGUUUCCAGGCAGCCAUGUUCAUAUCUAAACACACUCCUCAUUGCAAGCAUUGUGAAGGCGUAAUGUUUCACCUCUCCCUCCAUUUUGGCACCUGAGGUGUGUACUGUAUCCCUUUGCAACUACUUGUAGUUUUUUCUCAACUUGUUGCCCAGCAUGAAGGAUUCAAUGGCUUCAUCCCUUGAGAAGAAUCAGGUAUGCACUGAGCUAUGCUGCCCAGACCAUGCUUACACUUGCUGGCACACAGCUGUGUUUGCUUACACAUCUGCUGCCAGCCCUCCUUGAUGCCUGACGGACUUCUACAGCAAGAACUUAUGUUUUGCAUGGCAGUUGCCAGAGGAAAAGACAAUUCCUUCAGUCCUCUCAGUUUCACCCAGACUGUUCCUCUGGGCUGUGCUUAUCCCUUUUCUGCAGAAG